UUAGAUACCCUAUUAUAUUUAAGUGAAAUAGAUUUUUUAAAUUAAUAAUAGAUAUUUUCUUAAAAAUUAAAAAAUUUGGCGGCAUUUUAGUCUUUUUAGAGGAACUUGUUUUAUAAUCGAUAGUCCCCGAAAAAUCUUACUUAAUUUAAUAGUUUGUAUACCGUCAUUAUUAGAUAACUUUUAGAAAAAUAGAUAUUGAAAUUUAAUUCUUAAAGUAUAUUAGAUCAAGGUGCAGCUUAAGAUAAAGUAAAAAUGAGUUACAAUAUUAUUUUUAAUAUAUGGAUUUUAGAAUUAAAUUUCUAAAUGAAGGUGGAUUUAAUAGUAUAAAUUAUUUAUUAAGAUAUAUUGAUUAAAGCUCUAAAAUGUGUACAUAUCGCCCGUCG
rnacentral:rRNA from 1 species